rnacentral:rRNA from 1 species
AUACAGAGGGUGCGAGCGUUAAUCGGAUUUACUGGGCGUAAAGCGUGCGUAGGCGGCUUUCUAAGUCGGAUGUGAAAUCCCUGAGCUUAACUUAGGAAUUGCAUUCGAUACUGGGAAGCUAGAGGAUGGGAGAGGAUGGUAGAAUUCCAGGUGUAGCGGUGAAAUGCGUAGAGAUCUGGAGGAAUACCGAUGGCGAAGGCAGCCAUCUGGCCUAAUACUGACGCUGAGGUACGAAAGCAUGGGGAGCAAACAGGAUUAGAAACCCUAGUAGUCC